GCCAAUGCCAACAUGGAUUGCAAUUGCAUAAAAACCCUCCACCUCCUCCUUCCAAGAGUUCAGUGAUAAUCUUAUAGGAAUUGAUCAAGGCUGACAUACUUUAGUCUAAAAAGCAUCUGCUCCAGGGCACUUGCAGGCUUGAAUGUGACUGAUGAACUUCACGUUAGGUUCUGACCUAACGAGCAAAUAGGUUUCAUGACACAAACCUGCCCUCUGCCGGAAAUACAAGAAAGUACAAUGAACUCGUUUUUCAAAUUCUGAAUAAUCCAAUGAACAAUGUCUAAAUACCCCGUCUACCAACAGAACAUUACUGAUCCUGCAUAGACCUAAGUCUAAAAAGCAAGAAGGCAAGUGCUGGUGCAGCCAAGAAUCUGCAGGAAGCACUGGUGUGAUAAAAAUAUCUGUGUCUUCCUUUCCUCUUGAAACUCCUCACUAGCUGCACAAAUGCACU